rnacentral:lncRNA from 1 species
UUAAUAUGGAAAGGGUCUCCUCCCUUAUCUCUCCUCUCCCUCUCUCAUUCGAACACCGAACAUAUGUUUGUACUCUUUAAACCUUCCUCAACAAAAAGCAAUCCAUUACCAGUUUACCACCACCAUCUUCUUCACUUAGAUCCGUAUCUCUCCACGCCUACAACCGUUUGAUGGUUAGAACUUAGAACUUAGAAACCUAAAAUCGAACAGGGGUUUUACCAUUGUUGAAUCUGGAUGGAAACAAACCUGAACAACAUAGAUGAUGAACAUGGGUAAACAAAAAAAAAUUACCAACAGGUGCUUCUUCGAUUUUACUGUGUAACUCAACACCAGAUUUCGGGGGUGUUUGGCUUAGCUUUGUAGAAGCCAAAAGAUCUUUUAGGAAAAGAUACAAAGCAAAAGAUAUUUGGCAAGUGCACUUUAAAAGCUACUUUUGGAUUUGGAUACAAGUAAAAAAAUGAACUUUUUGAAAAAGUCAGGUUUUUCUGACUUUUUGUGACUUUUCCAAAAAGAACUUUUGCCCCCUAAAAAGCUAAGCAAACACCCCUUUCAUCUCUCAUUUUUGACCCCCUUUAUCUCUCUCACACACACAGAAAUACACACGAACACUAAAAAUUGAGUUGCAAAUUCACCCAUUUUCCGGUCAAUGGGUUAAAUGGUGUUGGGUGUAGUUUUUAUUCUUCCUGUAUAUGUUAAUGUGUGUGUUAGACAUAGAAAUCAAAUUGUAGCUCACCUUCCAUUGAUCUAUUCAUUCAUAAGAGCUUCUUUUACAGGUGGGUGUAGUGGGUCUUUGGCCCCAUCAAUUUUUUGAGCUUUGAUUAUUCAGAAAGCCGAAUCCUUUUGAGUGUAUUUGGGAAUAGGAUAUUGAUCCCAUUUAAAAGUAUUUAAGCACACAACAAGUCGGUAGCCGUCGUCACAGGAUUUCAAUAAGAUCGAUCGAUCUCAAAAUUCAAGAAAAUGAGAAGGAAUUAGGGUUUGUAAAAUAGGAAGAUUGGUCAAAGUAGUGCCAUUUAUUUAAAGGGAGAUGCGAUUAAACCAUCUAUGAGUUCAAAGAGACUUGAGAAACUUGUAUCUGAUCUUCUAAGUGCUGAACAUUUUAGGGCUAAACAUUGUAAGUAAAAUGGUUAAGAACUGUAGUUGCAAGUAUCCUGAUUCACGAUUCUUUGAUUUCUUUCUGUUGUAUUUGUGUUUUUUUUAAUUGUGAAUGCCUUUGUAAUCGAUGGUGGCAUGUUUUUUUCGGCCUCGUUAUUGUCGGUGGUGAGAGAGGGUGAG